AUAACGGCGCUGGCACCGCCCCUUCUCGAUAACUCGCAGAGCUGGGCUGGUAAAAUUGCAGUGCUAAGAACACUGGACCCGCAAAAGGCUGUCCCUCCCAAACCUGGGAUUCUGGGCUCACUGAGUUCACCUGCGAGUCAGCCCUACCUGCACUGCUCUGGUCUAGUACAAACAGGCUGCUGGCAUUGAGGUCUGCUACAAUGCUGCUGCUGCACAGAGCUGUGGUCCUCAGGCUCAAACAGGCCUGCAGGCUGCUCAGGAGUCAACACACAUAUACACUAAGGAGGAAGUGAGUUCCCACACCAGCCCUGAGACUGGGAUCUGGGUGACUCUGGGCUCUGAGGUCUUUGAUGUCACAGAAUUUGUGGACUUACAUCCAGGGGGCCCUUCAAAGCUGAUGCUAGCAGCUGGGGGUCCCCUAGAGCCCUUCUGGGCCCUCUAUGCUGUUCACAACCAGUCCCAUGUGCGUGAGUUACUGGCUCAGUACAAGAUUGGGGAGCUGAACCCUGAAGACAAGGUAGCCCCCACCGUAGAGACCUCUGACCCUUAUGCUGAUGAUCCUGUACGUCACCCAGCCCUGAAGGUCAACAGCCAGCGG
rnacentral:sRNA from 1 species